ensembl:misc_RNA Y_RNA Y RNA
GACCAGUCCGAGUGCAUUAGUGAUUGUAAUUGGUUGAUCACCACCAGUUACAGAUAUCUUUGUUCCUUCUUCACUCUCACUACUUCAUUUGAUUAGUCUUAA